UCACAUCAUUUUCCCCUCACA
rnacentral:miRNA from 1 species